CCUUCCGCGUGCGACCUUUAACCAAACAAAUAUACACCAAACCGAGAACCAGAUUACAUUUGAAAACUGAGGCCUUGCUCGCUCCAGGCCCGGCACUCCAUCCAGUGCUACUUAGCUGAAUACCGAUGUGUAUAUAUGAAAAAGGACAUUUGAAAACUAAAUCGCUAUAGAAAUAUACAGUACAUCAUCUUUUUAUAAUAUUCUGAUCGGUAAGUGAAUAAGCAUUUAUUAAUCACCUAGACUGUACCAGCCCUGGUGCUAAGUGAUGAAAUUUUUAAAAAGGCUGCUACUGCUCUCAAGGACAGUCUAAUGGAGGAGAAAUCAAUAAUCAAUCCAUAAACAUUUAUUAAGCACCUGCUGUGUUCGAGCCACUGUGCUAAUAUGCAAACAGCCUGGCUCAAACAAGAUAUAUACAGGAUCAAUUGGAGAUAAUUAACAGGAGAAAGGCGUUGGUAUUGAGGAGGAUCGGGAAAGGCUUCUUGCAUAAAGUGGCAUGACUAUUUCUAAUCCAGAGCCACACAUGGAAAUCUGGUCAAGUAAAACUUCAUCCCCAAAGAGCCAGAGAGCCUGCAUCUCACUGGAUAGUAAAGAGAAAUUAACAUGGAUUAGAAGAUAAUAAACUUUGAAUAAGAAGAUGAAUGACUCAAGGCAAAGAAAGGACAAGAUACCAUUGGUGUACUUUAUCCUGGUCAGACCACUUGGAGUUUAGUGUUCAGUUCCAAGUACCACAUUCUAGGAAGAAUAUUGACAUUGGCCACACCAUCCAGAUGGGAGCGAUCAGGAUGGUGAAGGGCCUCAAGAUCCCAUAAUAUUAGGAACAGUCAAAGGAAAUGAAGAUUUUUUUAUCUGGAGAAAAGACUUACAGGGCACAUCAUUGCCAUCUUCAUCUAUUUUAAGGAAAUGGAUUAGGUUUGUUCUGCUUGGACCCAGAAGACAGAAUUUAGGAGCAAAUGGAAGUUGAAAAGAUAAAGAAAAUUCUCUUUAAGGAUGAGGGUUAUUGAUGAGCAGUCAGAUUUCAGAAAAACUUGGAAAGACUUCAGUGUACUGAUGCUGAGUGAAGUGAGCAGAACCAAGAGAACGUUGUACACAGU